rnacentral:rRNA from 1 species
UUGUACCGCGAAACUGCGAAUGGCUCAUUAAAUCAGUUAUCGUCUAUUUGAUAGUACCUUACUACUUGGAUAACCGUGGUAAUUCUAGAGCUAAUACAUGCUGAAAACCCCGACUUCGGAAGGGAUGUAUUUAUUAGAUUAAAAACCAAUGCCCUUCGGGGCUCCCUGGUGAUUCAUAAUAACUGGUCGAAUCGCACGGCCUUGCGCCGGCGAUGGUUCAUUCAAAUUUCUGCCCUAUCAACUUUCGACGGCUGGGUCUUGGCCAGCCGUGGUGACAACGGGUAACGGAGGGUUAGGGCUCGACCCCGGAGAAGGAGCCUGAGAAACGGCUACUACAUCUAAGGAAGGCAGCAGGCGCGCAAAUUACCCAAUCCCGACGCGGGGAGGUAGUGACAAUAAAUACUGAUACAGGGCUCUUUAGGGUCUUGUAAUUGGAAUGAGUACAGUUUAAUUCCCUUAACGAGGAACAAUUGGAGGGCAAGUCUGGUGCCAGCAGCCGCGGUAAUUCCAGCUCCAAUAGCGUAUAUUAAAGUUGUUGCAGUUAAAAAGCUCGUAGUUGAACCUUGGGCCUGGCUGGCCGGUCCGCCUCACCGCGUGCACUGGUCCGGCCGGGCCUUUCCCUCUGGGGAGCCGCAUGCCCUUCACUGGGCGUGUCGGGGAACCAGGACGUUUACUUUGAAAAAAUUAGAGUGUUCAAAGCAGGCUUAUGCUCGGAUACAUUAGCAUGGAAUAAUGGAAUAGGACGUGCGGUUCUAUUUUGUUGGUUUCUAGGACCGCCGUAAUGAUUAAUAGGGACAGUCGGGGGCAUCAGUAUUCAAUUGUCAGAGGUGAAA